rnacentral:rRNA from 1 species
AGAGUUUGAUCCUGGCUCAGAGUGAACGCUGGCGGCGUGGAUUAGGCAUGCAAGUCGAACGCGAAACCACCCCUUCGGGGGUGGGAGUAGAGUGGCGAAAGGGUGAGUAACGCUUGGAUGACCUGCCUUCGAGACGGGGAUAACAGCCCGAAAGGGCUGCUAAUACCCGAUGGCCCGCACGGGAUGCGUCCCUUGCGGUAAAUGGUGCUUCCGCUCGAAGAGGGGUCCAAGUCCUAUCAGCUUGUUGGUGAGGUAACGGCUCACCAAGGCGAUGACGGGUAGCCGGACUGAGAGGUUGGCCGGCCACAUGGGGGCUGAGACACUGCCCUGACUCCUACGGGAGGCUGCAGUCGAGAAUCUUCCGCAAUGGGCGCAAGCCUGACGGAGCGACGCCGCGUGGAGGACGAAGGCCCUCGGGUUGUAAACUCCUGUCACAUGUUAAGAACCGGACGGGCUCGACCCGUUCCUGACAAAGGCAUGAAAGGAAGUCACGGCUAACUUCGUGCCAGCAGCCGCGGUAAGACGAAGGUGGCGAGCGUUACUCGGAUUCACUGGGCAUAAAGCGCGCGUAGGCGGCCCGUUAAGUCGGAGGUGAAAGCCCAGGGCUCAACCCUGGAAUUGCCCCCGAUACUGCCGGGCUUGAGUGCAGGAAGGGUGAAUGGAACUCCAGGUGUAGCGGUGAAAUGCGUAGAUAUCUGGAGGAACACCGGAUGCGAAGGCGAUUCACUGGACUGCAACUGACGCU